AGAGUUUGAUUCUGGCUCAGAUUGAACGCUGGCGGCAGGCCUAACACAUGCAAGUCGAGCGGUAGAGAGGAGCUUGCUCCUCUUGAGAGCGGCGGACGGGUGAGUAAUGCCUAGGAAUCUGCCUGGUAGUGGGGGAUAACGUUCGGAAACGGACGCUAAUACCGCAUACGUCCUACGGGAGAAAGCAGGGGACCUUCGGGCCUUGCGCUAUCAGAUGAGCCUAGGUCGGAUUAGCUAGUUGGUGAGGUAAUGGCUCACCAAGGCGACGAUCCGUAACUGGUCUGAGAGGAUGAUCAGUCACACUGGAACUGAGACACGGUCCAGACUCCUACGGGAGGCAGCAGCGGGGAAUAUUGGGCAAUGGGCGAAAGCCUGAUCCAGCCAUGCCGCGUGUGUGAAGAAGGUCUUCGGAUUGUAAAGCACUUUAAGUUGGGAGGAAGGGCAGUAAAUUAAUACUUUGCUGUUUUGACGUUACCGACAGAAUAAGCACCGGCUAACUCUGUGCCAGCAGCCGCGGUAAUACAGAGGGUGCAAGCGUUAAUCGGAAUUACUGGGCGUAAAGCGCGCGUAGGUGGUUUGUUAAGUUGGAUGUGAAAUCCCCGGGCUCAACCUGGGAACUGCAUUCAAAACUGACUGACUAGAGUAUGGUAGAGGGUGGUGGAAUUUCCUGUGUAGCGGUGAAAUGCGUAGAUAUAGGAAGGAACACCAGUGGCGAAGGCGACCACCUGGACUAAUACUGACGCUGAGGUGCGCAAGCGUGGGGAGCAAACAGGAUUAGAUACCCUGGUAGUCCACGCCGUAAACGAUGUCAACUAGCCGUUGGAAGCCUUGAGCUUUUAGUGGCGCAGCUAACGCAUUAAGUUGACCGCCUGGGGAGUACGGCCGCAAGGUUAAAACUCAAAUGAAUUGACGGGGGCCCGCACAAGCGGUGGAGCAUGCGGUUUAAUUCGAAGCAACGCGAAGAACCUUACCAGGCCUUGACAUCCAAUGAACUUUCUAGAGAUAGAUUGGUGCCUUCGGGAACAUUGAGACAGGUGCUGCAUGGCUGUCGUCAGCUCGUGUCGUGAGAUGUUGGGUUAAGUCCCGUAACGAGCGCAACCCUUGUCCUUAGUUACCAGCACGUCAUGGUGGGCACUCUAGGGAGACUGCCGGUGACAAACCGGAGGAAGGUGGGGAUGACGUCAAGUCAUCAUGGCCCUUACGGCCUGGGCUACACACGUGCUACAAUGGUCGGUACAGAGGGUUGCCAAGCCGCGAGGUGGAGCUAAUCCCACAAAACCGAUCGUAGUCCGGAUCGCAGUCUGCAACUCGACUGCGUGAAGUCGGAAUCGCUAGUAAUCGCGAAUCAGAAUGUCGCGGUGAAUACGUUCCCGGGCCUUGCACUCACCGCCCGUC
rnacentral:rRNA from 1 species